GGAUCCGGACGCCUGAGUCCCGUGCUGUCUUCGACCAGACGAACACCGGACCCUGAGGUCAGUGCGAAGUAUAGGACUGGGGAAGAGCUGUGAGGCCGUGAAGCUGCUGCUACCGGAGUGCGUGGAGGAGUCGGUGACCCCUAUCGUCCUACGCCUCAACUUCUCGCUACUGGGCCGGCCCAUCCUCGUCGGGCAGCUCCGCCCGUGCUGGCCGAGGGCUCGCGGGACCUGUUCAUCGCCUCUCUCCCUUUCGAGAAGAACUGCGGUACUGACAGCAUCUGCCAUGAUGACCUCAGUGUCACCUUCAGCUUCUCCAGCCAGCAGACCCUGGUGGUGGGGACGUCCCCGGAUCUGAACGUCGCCGUGACGUACGCAACGAGGGCGAGGACUCGUACGGGACUUGGUCACCUUCUC